rnacentral:misc_RNA from 1 species
GUGAAUCAUCAAAUUUUUGAACGCAAAUUGCACUCUUUGGUAUUCCGGGGGGUAUGCCUGUUUGAGGGUCGUUAGAAGAAUAAUCGAAGUAUUGUUCUUUUUUUUGUGGGUGAUUGGGUCGGAAUUGAGUCGUCUUUCAAAUGUUAAUUGUUGUCAAAGUGGGUUAAAAUUUAUUAAUCUGGUAUGAUUAAAGCGUAUUUAAGAUAAAUUUUGAUUAAGAAAGCGCGAUGGUUUAG